CCUGAACUUGGCUGACCUCUGUGGCUUCCUCUGGGGUCCCAGGGGCCUCCCCGUCCUCUGAGGUGGCGACUCACCACAUCCGUGACUGCUCCCGGACUCGCCAGAUUUGUUACUUCCACAAUCCUCUAGAUGACUUCCUACAGCCAGAACAAUGACAC